GUCGCCUCUCCGCCCGAGUAAGUGGGGCAGCCCUGAGGGGCCUCUGGAAACAGAACGGGCUUUGAACAAAGGAGGGAGGGGCGGAUAUUGCCUGCCGGUUCUCAGCCCCUGUCCAGGAUCUGCCAAAGUACAAGGGCUACGGCUGCCCACGUAGUGAUGAACACACAGAGCUUGUGGAACGCUCCAUUUCCACGACGCACCUAUUUGAGCCCGUUAGAAAGGAGAGGAGGUCACAGAAGCCAGCGGAAUCUUCUGAGAAAUGUAGCUACUUAAUGACAACCAUGACAGUGCUUGUAUCAAAUACCCUCAAACUGACCUAGAAAUCUAAAGAGGAAAAAUAUGAUCUGUACUUUUCUUAAGUACAUCUUUGCCUUAUUUUGGGGGUUGACAGAUGAUUUUUUUUUAAAGAUGCAGACUUCCCAAUAAUUUUUAGAAUACUGCCAAAUAAAAUCAUGGCCAACAGCUGUAAGCCAACACAGAGCUGGGUUUCCUUUGGCAAAGCUGGGAGAAGACUCGUCACCCGACCAAAUCCCAUCUCUGCCCUCAGCAAGGUCCGGCAGGUCCCAGGAGACGUGGUUAUGCUCUCGCUUUGCUCUCUUGACCCCGAAGCCCUCCCAGCUCUUGAACAGCAAAGCCAAAAAUAGGGUCCUCACUUCCAGGCUGCAGCUGGCUUCAGCUGUAAUCACCCAAACCAAGACUGAAAGGCCCCCAAUAUCACGAGUUUCUUACUGUCGCCAUAGACUUGCUUAGACUAACACUCAUUCUUAAGAGCCCCCAAGAGUUCGGCACAAAGGACAAAGUUAAACACAGCAAGCUACACUGACGAAGGGUCUGAGACAGACUGAGCAGGUGCCCCCGCGACUGAAAAUUGACAGGUCAUUUCACCUAACAGCUGGAAGGUUAAAAAGCGUGAAAGUGAACGCAUUCUGGUGUCUAAACUCUUCCGUGGGGUUUGCAUUUGCACCUUGGUCUUCCAGUUCCUGCUUCACAAAGAAUAAUUAGCAGAGUUCAACGCAGGCUUUAAUAGACAACCUCCACUCUGUGCCUGCAGCCAGAUUUCCACAUCUUCAUCACAAGGUGCUGGUAGAACACAA